rnacentral:rRNA from 1 species
CUCGUAGGCGGUUCGUCGCGUCCGGUGUGAAAGUCCAUCGCUUAACGGUGGAUCCGCGCCGGGUACGGGCGGGCUUGAGUGCGGUAGGGGAGACUGGAAUUCCCGGUGUAACGGUGGAAUGUGUAGAUAUCGGGAAGAACACCAAUGGCGAAGGCAGGUCUCUGGGCCGUUACUGACGCUGAGGAGCGAAAGCGUGGGGAGUGAACA